rnacentral:rRNA from 1 species
UACGGAGGGUGCAAGCGUUAUCCGGAUUCACUGGGUUUAAAGGGUGCGUAGGUGGGCAAGUAAGUCAGUGGUGAAAUCUCCGGGCUUAACCCGGAAACUGCCAUUGAUACUAUUUGUCUUGAAUACUGUGGAGGUCAGCGGAAUAUGUCAUGUAGCGGUGAAAUGCUUAGAUAUGACAUAGAACACCGAUUGCGAAGGCAGCAGGCUACACAAAUAUUGACGCUGAGGCACGAAAGCGUGGGGAUCAAACAGG